GGUAAAUCAUGCUGUGUUUAUUGUACGGAGAGAGAAACUCUUCAGAAAUAACACCAAUACAAGAUAUCAGGUGUUUAAAUAUGGACAUAUUGGUCCCAUAGCAUUCACCAGCAACAUGAACAUGUUCAGGACAAUCAGGAAGGUAGAGGACAUGAGCAUGUUCAGGACAAUCAGGAAAAUAAAGGACAUGAGCAUGUUCAGGACAAUCAGGAAGGUAGAGGACAUGAGCAUGUUCAGGACAAUCAGGAAGGUAGAGGACAUGAGCAUGUUCAGGACAAUCAGGAAGGUAGAGGACAUGAGCAUGUUCAGGACAAUCAGGAAGAUAGGACAUGUUCAGGACAAUCAGGAAGGUAGAGGACAUGAGCAUGUUCAGGACAAUCAGGAAGAUAGGACAUGUUCAGGACAAUCAGGAAGGUAGAGGACAUGAACAUGUUCAGGACAAUCAGGAAGGUAGAGGACAUGUUCAGGACAAUCAGGAAGGUAGAGGAGAUGUUCAGGACAAUCAGGAAGGUAGAGGAGAUGUUCAGGACAAUCAGGAAGGGAGAGGACAUGUUCAGGACAAUCAGGAAGGUAGAGGACAUGAACAUGUUCAGGACAAUCAGGAAGGUAGAGGACAUGAACAUGUUCAGGACAAUCAGGAAGGUAGAGGACAUGUUCAGGACAAUCAGGAAGGUAGAGGACAUGAACAUGUUCAGGACAAUCAGGAAGGUAGAGGACAUGAACAUGUUCAGGCCAAUCAGGAAGAUAGAGGACAUGAACAUGUUCAGGACAAUCAGGAAGGUUGAGGACAUGUUCAGGACAAUCAGGAAGGUAGAGGCUAGAAACAUUUCAAUCAAACAGCCCAGAAACACAAUAUUACACAUUCAGUGUGAAAGUUAGACAUUGUAUAACAUGUAGAACAUUAAAUAAUAAAUAUAGUGUCAAAGCUUUUUACCCUCUAAACUGGACUUGAUGGGAAUGAAGACAGGAGAUAUGAGGGGGGUGAUACUGAUGGGAGAUAUGGGGGGGGUGAUACUGAUGGGAGAUAUGGGGGGGGGUGAUACUGAUGGGAGAUAUGAGGGGGGGG
rnacentral:lncRNA from 1 species